AGAGAUACAUUAAUUUUGAUUUGUCUGACAGUGAGUGAGCCAUAUUUUUAAUUUAAUUGUUAUUGAGAAUUGUUGAUAAUGUUUUCCUCUUUUCUCUUGUAUAGUUUUUCCUCGUUCAUUAGUGGCAAUUUCGAUUAUUUAAUUAAGAAUGUGAUUUAACUCGUCCUAAUUGUUAGUGUUUCAUAUUGUUUUCACAGGUGCGAGUGUCUUAUGGUGGUUUCUUAAAGAAAAGGUUGGGAUAAAGCCUUUUCAUUCAGAUGGAUAAGUAAUCUUCUUUCGAUGAUGAAAUGAGGCAACACCCUCCCUGUUUCCCGGUAGAACCAUAUUUCACCCAAAUUUUUUCAGAUACGGAAAAGGAGCAGUCUACUUGAAGUCAAUAUAAGAAAGGGCAUUUCAGGUUCGUCGGGGUGCUGGUUUUGGAUGCUACUUCAACUUCUGCAAGCUUGGGGUCAUCACUUAUUUUCGUAAAGUUAUAUUUGCUGAAGAAUUUUAUUUUUGACUCUCUCUGUAAUCAUUAUCUGCAAUUAUUGAGGAUACUUAAAAGGAGAAGGAGGUUUGAGGGAUUUAAGUAGGUUGGUGCUAGUGAUCAUCGGAUCAUGGAUACUGUUUGUUGCUGUUUGAGGGGUGGAUUUGAAGAUUUUGUUCAUUCGAACAGCUCAAUCUGUGCGAACUUUAUUUGCAUUCGUUGCUUCGUUCAGAAUUUCUUACAUUUGGUAUGCUUUAAAUUAUUUACUGUCUAUUUAAGUUUUUUGAUUGAAUUUGAUAAAUUCAGUUUUGAGCUG
rnacentral:lncRNA from 1 species